ensembl:lncRNA
CGGGACGCUCCGCCCCGCCCCUCCGGGCAGCGAGGUUCCGCCUCACCUUUCAAAGGCCCUAUGCUGGUCCGGCUUCUCUCCACCACCCACCCACUGACGGCAGGGCCCCGCCUGCAGGCCGUUCAGCUAUUUGUCUGCUGUUGCGCGCACCGUGACCCACGCGGAAGUGGAGAGCGGCGAGUGGAGGUCCCAGCGCAGCCGACUUUCUUGUAAACAAUUCUGGAGAUUUGUCUCACUUGGGACAACUUGGAUGAAUGUAGAGAAUAUUAAGGUAAGUGAAUUAAGACAGACAGGGAAAGACUGGUAUUAUAUGUCCUUCCAUUAUAUGGAAUGUAAAAAAAAAUGAAACUCACUAGUACCAGAGGGUAGGAUGGUGGUCAUCUGGGGCUGGAAGGCCAGGAAGAUGGGGAGAUGUUGGUCAAAAGCUACAGACUUUGAGUUGUGAAAUGAGUGCGUCCUGGGGAGGUAUGCGCAGCAUGCUGACCAUAGUUAAUCCUGUUCUGUUAUUGCAUGCUGGGAAUUUGUCAGGAGAAUGCUUCGUCAGUGUUGUCACCACACACAGAACAUGGGAAUUUGGAGGUGAUGGAUGUGUUGGUUAGUGGUUUGUGAUAAAUAUUUCACAGU